GACGAACGCUGGCGGCGUGCCUAAUACAUGCAAGUUGAGCGCUGAAGGUUGGUACUUGUACCCACUGGAUGAGCAGCGAACGGGUGAGUAACGCGUGGGGAAUCUGCCUUUGAGCGGGGGACAACAUUUGGAAACGAAUGCUAAUACCGCAUAAAAACUUUAAACACAAGUUUUAAGUUUGAAAGAUGCAAUUGCAUCGCUCAAAGAUGAUCCCGCGUUGUAUUAGCUAGUUGGUGAGGUAAAGGCUCACCAAGGCGAUGAUACAUAGCCGACCUGAGAGGGUGAUCGGCCACAUUGGGACUGAGACACGGCCCAAACUCCUACGGGAGGCAGCAGUAGGGAAUCUUCGGCAAUGGACGAAAGUCUGACCGAGCAACGCCGCGUGAGUGAAGAAGGUUUUCGGAUCGUAAAACUCUGUUGGUAGAGAAGAACGUUGGUGAGAGUGGAAAGCUCAUCAAGUGACGGUAACUACCCAGAAAGGGACGGCUAACUACGUG
rnacentral:rRNA from 1 species